GAUGAACGCUGGCGGCGUGCCUAAUACAUGCAAGUCGAGCGAACGGACGAGAAGCUUGCUUCUCUGAUGUUAGCGGCGGACGGGUGAGUAACACGUGGAUAACCUACCUAUAAGGCUGGGAUAACUUCGGGAAACCGGAGCUAAUACCGGAUAAUAUUUUGAACCGCAUGGUUCAAAAGUGAAAGACGGUCUUGCUGUCACUUAUAGAUGGAUCCGCGCUGCAUUAGCUAGUUGGUAAGGUAACGGCUUACCAAGGCAACGAUGCAUAGCCGACCUGAGAGGGUGAUCGGCCACACUGGAACUGAGACACGGUCCAGACUCCUACGGGAGGCAGCAGUAGGGAAUCUUCCGCAAUGGGCGAAAGCCUGACGGAGCAACGCCGCGUGAGUGAUGAAGGUCUUCGGAUCGUAAAACUCUGUUAUUAGGGAAGAACAUAUGUGUAAGUAACUGUGCACAUCUUGACGGUACCUAAUCAGAAAGCCACGGCUAACUACGUGCCAGCAGCCGCGGUAAUACGUAGGUGGCAAGCGUUAUCCGGAAUUAUUGGGCGUAAAGCGCGCGUAGGCGGUUUUUUAAGUCUGAUGUGAAAGCCCACGGCUCAACCGUGGAGGGUCAUUGGAAACUGGAAAACUUGAGUGCAGAAGAGGAAAGUGGAAUUCCAUGUGUAGCGGUGAAAUGCGCAGAGAUAUGGAGGAACACCAGUGGCGAAGGCGACUUUCUGGUCUGUAACUGACGCUGAUGUGCGAAAGCGUGGGGAUCAAACAGGAUUAGAUACCCUGGUAGUCCACGCCGUAAACGAUGAGUGCUAAGUGUUAGGGGGUUUCCGCCCCUUAGUGCUGCAGCUAACGCAUUAAGCACUCCGCCUGGGGAGUACGACCGCAAGGUUGAAACUCAAAGGAAUUGACGGGGACCCGCACAAGCGGUGGAGCAUGUGGUUUAAUUCGAAGCAACGCGAAGAACCUUACCAAAUCUUGACAUCCUUUGACAACUCUAGAGAUAGAGCUUUCCCCUUCGGGGGACAAAGUGACAGGUGGUGCAUGGUUGUCGUCAGCUCGUGUCGUGAGAUGUUGGGUUAAGUCCCGCAACGAGCGCAACCCUUAAGCUUAGUUGCCAUCAUUAAGUUGGGCACUCUAAGUUGACUGCCGGUGACAAACCGGAGGAAGGUGGGGAUGACGUCAAAUCAUCAUGCCCCUUAUGAUUUGGGCUACACACGUGCUACAAUGGACAAUACAAAGGGCAGCGAAACCGCGAGGUCAAGCAAAUCCCAUAAAGUUGUUCUCAGUUCGGAUUGUAGUCUGCAACUCGACUACAUGAAGCUGGAAUCGCUAGUAAUCGUAGAUCAGCAUGCUACGGUGAAUACGUUCCCGGGUCU
rnacentral:rRNA from 1 species